CAAGCCCGCCAGAUCUGGCGGUGAAGCUCGGGCUCUUGAUCUAGGCAGCCCGAGCUCCGCUGCUAGAUCCAGCGAGCUGG
rnacentral:pre_miRNA from 1 species